rnacentral:rRNA from 1 species
GUGCCAGCAGCCGCGUUAAUACCGGCAGCCCGAGUGAUGGCCGAUCUUAUUGGGCCUAAAGCGUCCGUAGCUGGCCGCGCAAGUCCAUCGGGAAAUCCACCUGCUCAACAGGUGGGCGCCCGGUGGAAACUGUGCGGCUUGGGACCGGAAGGCGCGACGGGUACGUCCGGGGUAGGAGUGAAAUCCCGUAAUCCUGGACGGACCGCCGAUGGCGAAAGCACGUUGGGAAGACGAAUCCGACAGUGAGGGACGAAAGCUAGGGUCUCGAACCGGAUUAGAAACCCCUGUAGUCC